AGGCGGACGCGCCCGGAGGCUGCCGCUGCCCCUUCGUGUGUGGUGUCGGGUGUUGGUGGAUAUUGGUGCUCUUGGGCUUUUGGACUCAGACUGGGACUUAUGCCACUGUUGCCCUGAUUCUCAGACCUUUGGACCUGGAGUGAAUUACAUUCCCCACUGUCCUCGUCAUGGGACGUAUUAGCCUAUAUAAUCAAUUCUCCAGUACUCUGACGUCAAUCAACUGGAUGUCCAACUCAAUUCAAUUUGGAUACUAUCUACCUGGAAUUAGUGUGAAAUCCCACAAAUUAAAGGGCCCAGUUCCACAAGACUGCCCCUACCUCAGAUGCCAGCUGCAAGUGGGGUACCCAGGUGACCCACACUUCUGCCCAGCCAACUACAUAUUUGAGGAUUCCCAUGACCACCCCCCACCAAGUUUGAUAAUUCACCAGAUAACUCACAGAAAUCAGGAAAGUGCUUUACUUUUCCAGUUUAUUAUAAAGGGUACAACUCAAGAAGAGCCCAAUGAAGGACAUGCAUCUGGCAAGAGGCAGAAACCAUUUACUUCACAGUCUUGCCGAGGGGAAAGUGCCUACAGCAGGCCUGGGGGGAGGUCAGCGUGGAGCUCAGCUCUGAGGUAACAACAGGUAACACAGCUUGGAUCAACGCUGAGUGUGCUGGAGCUUUUCUGAAACAGGAUGAGGGUUUAUGCCAAGGUCGGGUGAAGCCGGGCAGGGUUGAUGAGACCUUGCUAAAGACUAGUUUACAAUGUGUGAUACUGUUGGCUCUGCCUAGAGAUAUCUGGUUCUAACUUAGGGCAACUUGGGGAGAACAUGGCUUUACCUUACAUUUUUAUUUUGUUCUUUUUUAACAGAUAAUUCCCAUUGUUGGAGUAAUGCCCUCAUGGAAAAAGGAAACUGGUUCCAAGUUAGUGUCAGUUCUGGGAUAAUCAUCCAGGGUAGUAGUUCCUUUCUCUGCCUGGCUGAGGAGGAUCCAUCUUGUUAAUAGUCAAAGAGUACAUAUACAUAUAGAAGUGGAGAACAUGUCGACGAGCUGGCUUGAAUCCUUUAAAAUAUUCACACUUUUCUGUGACUGGCAGAAGGAUCUUCGCAGGCAAGAACUUAGCUGAAUGGUCCUAACGGAAAUAAAGAGGGUGCCUCAGGACUCCAGAAAAACUGAAGGUUUUUGUCCAUGUGACAUCCUUGAGUCCUCCGAGGAAUCAAUCUUAGAAUCUGUCUUAGUCUGUUUGGGCUGCUAUAACAGAAUAACACAGACUGGCUGGCUUAUAAACCACAGAAAUUUACCUCUCACAGUUCUGGAGGGGGGAAGUUCAAGAUCAGGGUGCUAGCCUGGUUGGGUUCUGAUGGAAGCCCUCUUCUGGGCUGCAGAUGGGCAACUUCUCAUUUUGUUCUCACAUGGCAGCAGGUGGACAAGCUGCUCUCUGGGGCUUCUUUAUUAGAGACACGAAUUCCAUUCAUGAGGGCUCUGUUCUCAUGACCUAGUCACCACCCAAAGACCCCCCCCCACAACCAUUAUUGGGCAUUAGGAUUUCAACAUAUGAAUUUUGGGGGACAUAGCCAUUUAAACCAUAGCAGAAUCUAUUUUGCAAAGACACCCUAAUGCCUUGAAAGAUGCAGAGCAGGACUAGGAGCAUGCUCCAGGAGUAGCAUAGCAGGAAUGCUAAAAAGGGAGAAGGAAGCUAACAUUUCCAGAGCGCUCACCAUAUGCUGGGACCCAUGCUGGCUGCUUUACCUACACGAUCUCUUAAUUCUCCCAACAGCUCUGUGAGGUUGAUUUAACCUACUUCUAUUUACAGAUAAGGAAGCUGAGGUUCAGAGAAGUAAGUUGUCUAAGGUCAUUUGACUUGUCUAAGGUCAACGUGGUAGUCCAUCUGACCACAGGCCAUGCUCUUUCCAAUAUAUAGCAAAAUAGUUGUGGGUCCAGAGACUGAUUUUAGAGUUAGAAGUAAUCUUGGAGUAAAUAGGCAACUACUACUAAAUAGACUUAGAAUGAUUUUUAGUGGUCACCCACUGCCAUACCUCUGCCAGGUGGCCUUCUGCUUUGGUUUUACUUCCAGCUACUGCUAAGGCAGGGCCCAAAGGGGCAGCAAGUUGAGGACUGAUUCCAAACUUCACCUGCAAGAAUAGAAAGAUGAGAAUGGGAGAAAGUAUGAAAAGAAGAUUAAUAGAAAGUGAAGGGCUCAUCUUGUGAGAAAUUUCGAAUAUCGUAUCUCUGCAAUAAUUAGUUAAUGUGGCUCAGGAAUAGACUCACAGGUGAGUAGAAGGGAAUAUAUUUUUGUGGAAGCAAACUCUAAAAGUUAACACACAAUAAAGGAAAUACUGCAAGUCACUGAGAAAGAUUGGUCUAUGUGUUUGAUAAUUUGUGGAAAUGUAGAUAGCUACAUAGAAAAAAAGUAAUGCAAGUCACAACCUUAUAUCAUGCCCAGAUAAAUUCCAGGUACAUGAGUGAAUUGUGUUUAAAAAGUGAAAAUACUAUAAGAAAAUUAAGAUUAAUAUUUAUCUGAUCUGAGUGGGAAAGGGUAUUUUAAGCAUAAAAUCUGU